CCUACGGGAGGCAGCAGUGGGGAAUAUUGCACAAUGGGGGGAACCCUGAUGCAGCAACGCCGCGUGGGUGAAGAAGUACUCCGGGAUGGAAAGCCCCGUCAGCAGGGAAGAAAAUGACGGUACGUGACCAAGAAGCCCCGGCUAACUACGUGCCAGCAGCCGCGGUAAUACGUAGGGGGCAAGCGUUAUCCGGAUUUACUGGGUUUAAAGGGAGCGUAGACGGCAAGGCAAGUCUGGAGUGAAAGCCCGUGGCCCAACCACGGGACUGCUUUGGAAACUGUGUUGCUUGAGUGCAGGAGGGGUAAGCGGAAUUCCUAGUGUAGCGGUGAAAUGCGUAGAUAUUAGGAGGAACACCGGUGGCGAAGGCGGCUUACUGGACUGUAACUGACGUUGAGGCUCGAAGGCGUGGGGAGCAAACAGGAUUAGAUACCCGUGUAGUC
rnacentral:rRNA from 1 species